rnacentral:lncRNA from 1 species
AUGAAUUACCAAGUCAUUCACAAGCAGCUACGCAGGCACGUCUCCCCCCUCCUUGUCUUUCUGCCGAACCGAGCUGUGUGGGGGCAAGAUGUGGAGUGUUUUCAAAUCCGUUCCAAGCAGAGCGAGACUCAAAGCUUGCAGCCCUUUGCUUGCAUGUACCUCGCUUGGCCACGGGAGAGUGCCAGAACUAUCCGGGGCGGUGUGUGGCCUACCAACGCAAUGGGCGCUGUUGGCGUGUUCUCCAUAUGUACGAGUAACACGGAUGAUGGUUCCCUGAGAGGUCAAGACUCUGGAGCCAGCCUGAUGGAUGAUCAGAAGUUUGGUUCGAGGAAAGACUCCACCGAAGUUCCUUCUAAGAAACCCAGAGGGACUGGUACGGAUGCUGGUGAUUUACAAAGUACGUCGGAUGGGCAACCAACAUUGGGUGCAAACCUCAGGAAGCCAGUGGGUUCAGGGUCUGGUAUUUUUGGAUCUCCUCAUAAUAGUGUUUUUCCUAAAUCUACAAAAGCUCGCCGAAGACCAGGUUUGGGUAACACUCUCGUACCAUCAAAAAGGGUUCUGCGUACCUACCAGACACAAAAAGAGAAGCAGCCACAUUGGUAAUAUGAAAUGUGGGACUCCAUUGCUGUUUUGUUGUGCACAUUCACAGACUUUGCCUUUAACAGCUGAGCUUUCUGAUGGCCAGCCAUGCUAAAUCACUGUUUUUAUCAACAUUGCAAAGCUUUUUAAAACUCUUACGUGUUGCGGUCACAGAUGCAAUCUAUAUCCUGUGUGAAUUUGUUCAUUGUCUACUUCCAGUAUGUCAUAAUCCUACAUAGGGAUAUAUUAAAGAACUAGCCUUUCACACAUUGGUCACCAUUAUUUCAUUAAUUUCCAAAUAACAUAGAAGUUCUGAGAAAAUUGGUGUUCCCUUUGGAAUCAUCCAAUCAUCUCCAGGGUCCCUUGUCCGAAUUAGAAGUGAUGGUCUAAUAUCAGACCUUUUGGAGAAAAAGACAGAUUUGAUGUCAGCUAUAAUGAGCUAUUCUAUCAGUUUUUCAUAUUACUUUAAUCCUCCCACAGGGAAUUUAAUCAGGUGUGUGUGUGUGUGUGUGUGUGUGUGUGUGUGUGUGUGUGUGUGUGUGUGUGUGUGUGUGUGUGUGUGGGGGUGGGGUGUGUGUGUGUGUGUGUGUGUGUGUGUGUGUGUGUGUGUGUGUGUGUGUGUGUGUGUGUGUGUGUGUUUGUUUUAUCUCCAAAUGUGGGUUUCCCAAGGUGGAAUGGAGUCCUCCCAGGUCUCCCACAUCCAUUUUGGUAAGGGGGAUCACGAUUCAUGGACCAAGCUGUGAAUUUUUCUUGUUCUCAAAGUUUUACUCCAAGUGCUCUUUUCAGGAUCGUCACUGAGCCAUGGACAGCUUCCAACUGUUGUUAUUUUGUAGUAAUAGUCCCAAGAAUGGUUUUUAAGAUCUCUUUAAGGUUCUUCAUCAUUCCCUUUGCUCCAAUCACUGGUGCAAUUUCAGUGCUCUUCAACUUCCAAAAUCUUUUCACUUCGUUUUUGAGAUCCUGGUAUUUGAUCAUUUUCUUGAUUUCUGCAUUGUUUAGGCCAAAAUUGCUGGGUACUGAUACCUCAUUUAGCAAUGUUGUCCUUUCUUUUUUUGUACCUAAGUGUACUAUAUUUGAUUGCAAUGGUUUUUUUUUUUCUAUGUACACACUCGAUGGGAUCUCCAGGUCGUACGUGAGCAUUACUUCCUUGUUUUCAAUAAUCGCUUUUAGUUCAUGUUUCCAUCAGUCUCUGAAACUGGGAGAUUUAAUCUUUUUUACAGAUGUGCCAGUGGAUUACUCGAUAUGCGUUGUUGAGCCUUUGUGUGUACAACAGUUCUGACAUGAGGUUUUUACAUCCCGAAAGGAGGUGGCUAAUGCUUUCUGUUUCUGCCUUGCAGAACCGACUAUAUGUGACUUUGUCUCACCAUUUUAUUAAAGCCAUUGAUAUAGUGUCCUUGGUCUUGGGCGUUUAUUAUGAAUUGGUCUCCAUCCCAGUUGAACUGAUCUCUUCUUGGACAUUCCAAUGAGCCUUCUUUGUGCUCAAUGUGUUCAACCUUUUUUUUUUUUUUAGUCUCCCUGCUCUUUUAUCGUUCUCCUAGUUGGUGCAUAUCUGUUGAUAUUUCACCUUUUAUUUUUCUUUUGUAUUUUUUUGCAAUCAUUGGGGCUGUAUUUGUUGCUAUUUAAAUUUCAUGCAUGACAUCUUUUUGCACCUGUCUUUGAAAAUUUUUUUUUGCAAGGGUUACAUUUUCUUUCUUGCUGUCGUUGUGUUUGUAUACAAAUUGGAUUCGGUAGUCUUUUGAACUUUUCACGUAUUCAGCCAGUCCUACAGUUGUCAUUCUCUGCUCUUGGUUGAGCUCCAUCAGGCUGCUACCACCUCGUCUCGACAGGUAAAUUCUCGAGAUGCAUUGAUUUUUGUCGAUAGUGAGUUUUCUUGUAUUGAUUUGUAGGUCAUUGAUUUCCACUUGUGGCCAGUUUUUAUUAUUUCGCAGCUGUAUUGGAAUACAGGCACUUUUGUAACUGUAUUGGAAUACUGUUCAUACAAUUUUUUUUUACUUUAUAACCAUGUUACGGUCUUUUGAGUGUUCAGUCCAAUCACACGAACACUGCUUUUUUGAACAUCCCGAGCUAAGCACUAAAUUCAGGAAAUCGGACCUCGAGAGUUAACUUCCCAUUCAUACCAUAAUUCACACCUCAUUCGCACAGGCUAAGCUCCAGCACUCUUCCUCCAUCUCGGACGCCAUUCUCUCCAUGGGACUCUUUACUGGCACGAGAGACAAUGGCACUCGCCCUGCUUCACCAGAUACCCCUCUAGCUUGUUGUCCCUCAUAAUCUUUUAUAUUACACAUGUUCAAUUUACUGUAAUUUAUUCAUUUUGGAUUUUAAAAUAAAAGUACAUUUAAUAAUGUUUUUAUGUUUCAAAAAAUAAAUGGUUUUAAUAGGGUCUUUGAACAUAUCACGCUGAGCAUGCAGGAAAUCAGGUUCUCGAAUGUGGGAAAGUGAACAAUGUGAAUGGCGCGGUCGUGCUGAACAGUGGAAUCCAGGGCUUCAUUCAUGUUCUCAUGAUGCAUCUUGCAUUUUUUGGGGGACCAUACCGAACUAUAUUGUAGUGUAAUUGUACAAAUUGACCCCCCUCUCCCCGCCCCCCACCCCCAACUGCCGCUGGUGUCUGUUCGUUGCCAAAAAAAGAUUUGUACAUACAUGUUUUUAGGCUUCAUUAUUAUUACUGUAUGUAUUUAUAGCAUCAAUUUAUUCAUUUUUGACUUGAGAAGCAUAUUUAAUGAUGUUUAAUUUCAUUAUGUCAAAAAAUAUGGUUUAAUUUUUGCACACACUAAUUUGAUCACCUAUUACAUGUUUUUAAAGGGCAUUUAUUCCAAUUUAGGAACUUACAGCUUAAGAGCACAUUGUGUUCAGAAACACGAAACUACCUGCACUGGUAUUGCUAGUUGUUUAUUGUUGAAUGGCUUGGAUUUUGUUUCUAUGGGAGAGUUAUCUUUUCAUGAUCAACGUCCUGGCUCCUGAGGAGGUAUUCUUUUUGGUAAUUGUUUUGCUCAUUUUUUGUGACACAUUUGGUGGCCCUUUUCUAAAGCCUGGUGUUGGCUCAGUGGUUAAGCCUGUAUCUCACUGGGCUGCGACAGCUCGCGACAAAAUGCGAACGGGAUUCUCCAAAAUGUCUGGAAACAUUCGCGGUGGUUCUCAAUCUCCUCGCGUGAGUUACUCUGGUGUCGCUGGAAUUUUGAACAUGUUCAAAAAAUUUGUGCGACAAAUUUUAUCUCAAAAUAGUCACAGAGUCGUCGCGGUUGUCUCGAACCGGUCUCGAGCCCUUCUC